rnacentral:lncRNA from 1 species
CCACUUCCAAGUAGGAAUAAGUAUCCUCUGAGAUAAACCUCCAAGCCGCUGGUGCUCACACUUGACCUAUUGGAAAAUCAAACACCUAGAAACAAAGUCUGUAAUAUCCUUCUUCAUGCCACACCAUUAAUAAUGUUGGCUCAAAUCAUGAUAAAUCUUCACUGCUCCUAGAUGAAUAGAAUAUCAAAAACAAUAGGCCUCCUCAAGAAUCAAUCUAGGCAACUCGCUCGUCUUGGGCACACAAAUCCUGCCUUCAAUCCUCAAAACACCAUCCGGAUCAAGGACAGCCUCAUAGGCUUCCCCUCUCAACAUUUUUUUCUCGAAUGAGAGACAAUUUCACAUUAUCAAACCAAUGCUCUCCAAUCAUCUCAAUUAAGGAAGAACGGGCUUCAAUCAAACCAUUCGUCUCCUAAGAAAUAUGUAAUCAAACAAGAUUGUUGGCUAACCUCUGAACAUCUCUAGCCAAUGAUCUCUCCUCAAUACUGAUAGACGCAAGACUUCCCAUACUAAAAGUCCUCUUACUAAAAUCAUCAACCACUACAUUGGCUAUCCAAGAUGAUAAAAGAUAGUGAUAUCGUAGUCCUUCAGUAGCUCCAACCAUUUAUGCUGCCUUAAGUUUAGAUCCCUCUAAUUGAAGAUAUAUUGAACACUUAGAUGGUCAGUGAAGACCUCACAAUGAACCCCAUAAAGAUAAUGUUGUCAUAACUUAAGCAUAAAUACCACAGCUGUUAAUUCAAGAUCAUAGGUAUGGUAGUUGUUCUCAUUGGUCUUCAACUAUCUAUAAUAUACUAAAGGCUCAUGUGAUCAGUAUAGAUCUUUAAACUAACAACGUACCGAUAGUGCCUUCAGCUCUUAAGUGCAAAAUGUGUUGCCGCCAACUCCAAGUCACAAGUGGGGUAGUUGCGCUCAUCUAGCCUAAGCUGCCUCAAUGCAUAAGCAAUAACCUAUCCCCGCUGCAUCAAUAUACAACCCAAACCAAUGUCGGAUGCAUCACAAUAAACUAAGAAGCCCUCGCCCUCAACUGGGUUAGAGGUGCUGCAAUGGUGGAGAAUCCCUCCACAAACCGCAUUUAGUAGCCUACCAAAUCGACCAAGUUCCAAACAUCAACCACUGAAGUGGGCCUAGCCUAACAACGAUUAGCCUUAAUCUUCAUUUGAUCUACCAUGAUGCUAUGCUUGGAGACCACGUUCCCCAAGAAUGCUACAGAUUCUAACCAAAACUCAAACUUUGAGAACUUGGCAUAAAGACGUUGAUCUCUGAAAGUCUUGAGCACAAUCCUCAGAUCCUGCUCAUGAUCACUCCUUCUCCGUGAGUAUACAAGAAUGUCAUCUAUGAACACAAUUAAGAAUAAAUCAAGAUACGAUCUGAACACCCACGAUCAAGUUUAUGAUGGCGGCAGGGGCAUUAGUCAACCCAAAAGACAUUACUAGGAACUCAUAGUGGCCAUAUUUAAUCCUAAAUGCGGUCAAAGGGAUGUCCACUACCUUAAUCCUUAGCUGAUGAUAACCAGACCUCAAAUCAAUUUUUGAAUACACUGUGGCACCCUGAAGCUGGUCAAAUAGAUAAUCAAUCCUAGGCAUGGGGUAACGGUUCUUCACUGUCACCUUAUUCAACUGCCUAUAAUCAAUACACAUGCACAUCAUGCCAUCCUUCAUCUUUACAAAUAGAGCAGAAGUGCCCCAAGGAGACACACUAGGCCUGAUGAAUCCCUUACCCAAUAGAUCUUAAAUUCGAACACUAAGCUCGUUGAGCUCUGUGGGAGCCAUCCAAUAUGGUGGAAGAGAAAUAGGUCGAGUAAUCAGCUCAAGCUCGAUAACAAAGUCAAUAUCAUGUUCUGGGGGUAGGUCAGUAGGUUAGUAGGAAACACAUCUAUAAAACCACGAACGACUGGAAUGGACUCAUUUGAAGGGACCUCCCGACUCACAUCAUGUACAUAGGCCAAAUAAGACAAACACCCGCUAGCCACUAGCCUCUGAGCCUGAACAAAAGAGAUAACUCCAACUGGUGUGCCACUAAUGGAGCCCAUCCACACCACCGGUGGAAUAACAGGCAUGGCUAAGGUAACAGUCUUAGAGAAACAAUCUAAAACUGUGCAAUAGAGGGAUAGUCGGUCCAUGCCAAGAAUCACAUCAAAAUCAAGCAUAUCUAACAAUAUAAGGUCAGUCCAGGUGUCACGCCCCAGGAUAGUAAGUAAGAAAGAUUAAAACACAUCAUCCACUACUAAAGACUCACCCACGAGGGUCAACACACGCAAUGGCACUGCCAUAACCUUUCAACUUAUACCCAUACGAGAAGCAUAAUACACAGACACAUAGAAAUAGGUAGAGCCUAGAUCAAAUAAAGUUGAGGCGGGCUUAUGGAAUAAAAGAAUUGUACAUGUGAUCACAUCGUUUGAUGCCUCAGCCUCCAUCCUCGCUGAAGCUGUAUAGAAAUGGACAUGUCUGCCUCUGCCCAGUCCAUCAGACCUACCACCUGACCUGCCUCCCUGGGGACCACCCCGAAUACCCUAUUGUCCACUGCAAUGGUUCUGACCCUGACCUCGACCUCUAGCUUGAGGUGCGGCAGAUGGAGCUGGUAGAACUGAUUGUGCGACUGGAGCAAUUCGUCUACGCAAAGGGCAAUCUCUGGCCUAGUGAACUAACACCCAUAGUCAAAACAACUUGAAGAUGAUGUGCUCCCUCAAGAACGACCACCAUAGCCUGAAGUACUAGUCUGGUACCCAUGAUUCUGAUUAUAUUCAACCUCACUACAGCUAUAUCGGUCACCCUCUAAACUCUGCAAUGAGGCCUGAAUAGGCCGACUAGGCUGACCCUGCUGAAACUACGAUCGAGCCCUAUCAUGUGAAUCUCUGGGCUUGGAAUGGGGCCCAUUAUAGCUACUAUCAUAUCUAGUUCUCUUGUCGCUGCCUCUUUAUUCCUCACAACAGAGCUUCUCAAUAGUGCAGGCAUGAUAUAAAAAACAUCCUAAAAGGAGAGCCCAACUAAGAUCAUAGACUGAGCCUCAAUCCGCAUCUACAGUCUCAACCUAUGAACAAGGCACUGAACCCUCUCAUCCUCAGUAGGUAGAAUCAUUGUAUCAUGGCGAAAGAGCUCAUAAUAUAUCACCUCAUACUCAGACAUUGUCAUAGAACCCUGCUCCAAUCAGGAAAACAGAUCAUUGAGGUAAUCUCUGACGCUGCGAGGAUGGACCUGUCCAAGAAGGCCUAAAAAAACUCAAUCCAUGUGAUCGGAGGAGACCCAACUAGCCUAGUCUUAAUUAAUGUACAAUACCACUGUCUAGAUAGCCCAUCAAGUUGAUACGUAGUGAAGUUGGUUCCUCUAGACCCCACAAGACCCAAGGUAUGCAGUCGUUCACGGAAAGUAGUUAGAAACUUUUGGGAAUCCUCACCCACAGCCUCAGAAAACCUCGGAUGUGAAAGCAUCAAGAACACUCCAAGCAUCUUCUGCUCCUCUAACGGCAUAGCACUAGCUGCAAUCAUAGGCUAGGCAACCCAGAUGGUACCUAGGCCCUGGGUGCCUUUACAGAUAGGCUAAUCCUUCUAAUUUGGUGCUGGUGCAGGUGUCGAUUCUGGUGCAAGUAUAGGUGUCAGUACUACCGCAAGUUUAGGUGUCGGUACUGGCACAGGUGCAGGUGCUAGUAUUGCAGCUGGGGCUUGCUUCAUUCCCCCAAGAGCUGUCAAAAGUUGCGCAAUAGCUAGCUGAAGAUCUGCUGACACAGCCAGUCCGGGUGGUGGCGGAGCUGGUCCAGGCCCCACCGGCUGCUCUAGAACAUGGGCUGCUGGAGGAUCCGAUAUUGACUCAGGACCUACUCUCUAUUUGGGGGUGGUGUUGCACCCCUACCAAGGAAGGGAGGUCAACCCCUAACCCUAGCUGCCACGUAUGAGUCAUUCUGCGAAAAAGUGAAACAAGUGAGAUUCCAAAAAACCAAUAACACACACAUUGCACAAAAGUGAUACAAAAAGAAGGGGGUUCCUAAAAACACCUUGUUGCCUCCCAAAGAUAGGACACAGACGUCUCCACACCAAUUCGUAGGAUUCUAGUAGAUAUUAGCUCUGUACAAGUAAGACUGGUGAACCUGGAGCUCUGAUACUAAUUUGUCACGACCCAACUUCUCGAGUCAUGAUGGGACCUACUAAAGCCCACCAGUAGGUAAGUCGACUCAUACCCUGAACAAGAAGUAGUGAGUACAAGGGCAUGACUAAACAGAAAAUAAUUUUAAUUAGUAAGCAAAUACAAAAAUGGGAAGUGAACCGAAAACUCUAUUCAAAGGAAUCCUCCCAAAACCUGAAAGUCAUUAGUACAGAGCUGCCUAACAAGAUAAAUACAAGUCCCAAAAUUAGACCACAACAAGUUGUUUCAAAGGCAAAAGAAAAGUUAACAUAAGUACAGAAGCAGACAGGUUGGUCCUGGACGUCAAGUGCUCACUCUUAUCUACAAGCUACAAAAGAUGGUACGAACAAUUACCACCACUAGUAGUUGGUACUAGGUCCUGCUUCACGAAAUGAUGCAGAUUGUAGCAUAAGUACAAAAAAUAAAUGUACUCAGUAGGCAUCAUAGGCCGAUCGAGCAAGAAAGGUUAAAACAAUCUAAAAAGAUAGAAUUUAGACAAAAAUAGAGGUCAAAGCGGAUAUGAAAAGAAGCACAUGAGCGUACCGAAAGUAAUUCUAAGUAUAGCUAAACUAAACUUAACAUGACCCAUAAGCUCAGAAGGUAAACUCAUGCACAAGUUUAAAUAAACCCGAAUUGGCCCCCAUUAGACUAAGUACAUAGAAUAGCUAAGUCUACAGAAAAAGAAUAAUCUAGAUCCGAAUCCAAGAACAUCAGUCGAGCUCCCAGCCCAAGUAACCAAGAUCCAGUCAACUCCCAGCCCAGCUAGCAAGAGUGACAAUCAACCUAGCCAGUUAACUUCCAGCCCAGCUAACAAGAGUGAUAAGAAACCUAGGUUGUCUAGCCAAACAAUCCACUUCUAGGGGCGUUAACCGCCCUACUAGCAAGAGUACCUUGGAGGCAUGUCAACUCCGUCGAGGAUAUCAAAUAUCUAGGCUACCCAUCCAUCUCACUCCUAGUGGCGGCAACCGCUCACCUAGCAAGACUGUCCGAAGGCGUAUCAACUCUAAAUAGGAUCUCAAGUAGGCUCAAAGCCACCAUGGAUCGACGUCCACCCUCAAUGAUAUCAUAAAAGGCUCCAAGACGGUAGCACUGCAAUCCCGAGAAACCAGAGAAUCUCCAAUAAUGCAUCAGAGCAAUAGAAAUAGGGAGAGGAGAUAGAAAGGGCCAACAAGCUACAUAAUCACCUAAACUAAGGCUCAUUCAAUCAAACCCAAGUCUUCUAUUCAAAUUUACAAAGACCUAGUCCAUCUGAAAUGACGUUAGAGACAUAUCAUAGUCACAAGGUGCAUAGUUCUAAGGUAACACUAGUCUAUCCUAGAAUAAGGCCAAAACAUGCUCCAAAAACAAGUAAUCAACCAAGUAAAUCACAUAGCAUGCUACAACACACAUACAAUCCUCUUUCAGUAUGGUACUACCCUCGAAACAGUGGUAAUCAACCCUAAAUCAUGGUUUCUAAGAAUAAAAGCAGAAAUAACUAGGUACCCACCCCCUAUUCAUACUAUUCAUCACAAAUUUACACAUUCUUGCUCAGUUUAAUUAGAAAGGAAGUCGUAGCCUACCUGUAUACUGAUUACGCUUUCUCCAAAUCACAAGGUCAGAGCUUUUCCCUUCUGAACGAUGUAACAUGAUCAAAAAUAGGAUCUCAACGUCAAUACGAUCGUUUAGACACUGAAAUCACCCAAAAUAGAGACAAACCAAUUUUUAGAGUCAAAUGAGAAUCGUGGGACCCGCACCAGAAUUUCUGAAAUUGACUCUGUCAAAAGGUCCUAAGCUAUAUCUUGAACUUGUGUCCCAAAAUAGGACAUAAUUCAUGCCCAAAACAACAGAAACAACAAAACACCACAAAAACAAAAAUAAAAGGAAAAGGGGCAGCAACUAUUACACCAAAAUUACCUCGAACGAAAUGUCACCGACACAAUCCAAUCACUCCACCAUGUAGCCCCGACAAUUAAGAUCAUGUGGGACUUCGAAUCACCAAAAUUCAAGCUCGAAUGAGGUAGAAAUCGCCUUGUAUUGAGGGUGAAAGUUGAAGUUUCUGGGUAUAAAUACCUGAAACUGGUCGCUAAAAGGCUGAUAUUUGUUCGCUAAAAGUUUGCACCAUAUAUCAAUUGAUUUGCUCAAACUCUAAAUUCUCCGAUGGGAUGUCCGGGAUUUGUUUAAAACAUCGUGCGCACAAACAAAAUAUGCUACCCUAUCGAAUUCAGCAUUCCUGACUCAACGGAACAAUCAAAACUUCCAUUCGAGGUUAUUUUUGAUAAAAAUUGGGUCCCACACCCAAUUUCCAUUUUAAGCUAAAAACCACAAGAAGACUGAAAAUGAGAUUGUAAGCCUAAGGAACCACAAGAAAGGUUGUUCUAGACCAAGCUCGACAUUUCGGAUCUAACCGCGCUAACGGAAUUCUCAUUCGAGCAUGUUUACCAAGAAUGUUGACCAAAGUCAACCCUUAGCUUAAGCUUCAAAGUUAAAAUGCCUAACGGCACAAACCAACUAUGCCCCUAGCCUAAAAUGGCCCUUUUGAGGCUGAUGAAACUGUUAGAAUUGCAUUUUGAGGCCGUCUUCCUGAACUUCUGAUAAAAAUGACCGUUCAAGAUUCAAAAGCUCUCAAAACACUAAAACUCGCAUAAAAACUAGACGAACGACCAAGUGACCGAACUGUCAGUCCCAUCAAGUCAUACAUGACUUGGAGUCGUUACAAGAAAGAUCUAAAUGAUGAACAUGAGGCAUAAACAUAAAAAUGACCUGGAGGUCGUUACACUGAAUUUUUUGGAGAUUCGAAUUAAGAAUGAAAAUUGAUUUUUGGAGAAUUUUUUAUUUAAAAAAAAAGAAAAAGUAGAGAGAUGCGGGAAGGAUGAGAGAGAGAGGGGGGUUGAGGGGGAGUGAAAUUUGACUUCAUUUUAGGAGGUUAAGUAUAAACAUGAGAUUUACUGUUAAAAAAAACAUACAGUGGUUCAUUGUAAUUCUUAAAACUACAAUUGUAUUCCAUAAAUAAGUAGCACAUGUAUGCUUUGUUGUGUAAUUUUUUCAUAUAAAAAUUGUGCCAAAAUUUUAGAGAUAUAUAUAUCAAUGUAUAUCUCUUAUAAUAUUGUAGAUAUAUCCCAUCUGAUUCUUUCUUUUUCCUUUUAGGCAAUUAAAUUAUCCCUAUUUGAAUCUUCAAAACUUUAGACCAAGUCUUUAAUUUGCUUCUAAAUCCGAUAAAUGAUAAAGGAUAAAGCUAGGAAAAGCAUAAUACAGGGCCUACUUUGUCUUUCACUUUGAACUUCUUUCAAGAGAGUACCAUCCUUAUUUUGAUAACUUGCCAGCCUUAAUUCUCCUUUCUAAAAUGGAUUUAAGUUUAAUAUGUAACUUAAAGUAUAUAUGAGUUUAAGUUCUAUGUAUUAGAGAUGUAAAAGAGAAAUUUACUUCUUAUAAUAAAUUACUAUAAAAUAUGAUAAGCAUUAAUUGACAAUUCAGUACAAAGUUAAGUAACUUGCUAUUUCAUUCACCAAAUUUUAAAUAUUUAUAUUGUUGAUAUAUAUCUUAAAUACUAAAGAAAUUGCUUCUUGCCAACAUCAAAUGAAUUAGAGUUCAUCUCAGUUUUUUAUACUAUCAGUAUAAUUUAACUGAUUAUAGCAUGUUAUUCUAAAUUAUAAUUACAAGUAUUUUUGCACCAAACUUAGUUCUUUCAAGAUUUGGAUUGCCAUGCUAGAAAAUAGAGAAUCUCUCUUCUUGAUUUUAGAACAAAGUUUGAAUGGACAAAAGGCCAAAAAAGUUGUCACAAAAACAAAGAAUCUUAUGAAAAGGACUAACACAUAGAGGCAAUCCCUACCUUUUCCCUUUGCAUUUUUAACACUUUUUAAUGGUGGAUUUGCUUUUGUUUCAGAACACAUGCCAUUUCAUAAGCAAAACAACCAAUAAUUAGAGAAUAAAACUACCUUUGUUUCACAAGCCAAAGCUUCUACUAUACUCCCUGAAAAAUUAUCCUUUUUUUCUUCUAAAUUUAAAAAUAAUUUAACUUAACUAUCUAUUUUACACUUAAUGACAAUUUAUUGUAGUCACACACAAAUAUAAUGUUAUAACAUAUUUAAGAUUCUAAAUUUAAAAAAAAAUUAGACAUUAAAUGUAAUUACUAUGACAGAUUAAAUUAUAAAUUUCAAAGUACUAUGUUUUGUGUAAGCUUAUUUGUAAUUAAAUAAGUUCACUAAAAUUAUAUUAAUUCAUGUUUACUAGGACAUAAAUCAAUGCAUAAAAAAGCUUAUAGUUUGUUCUUCUUUUUAAUUUCCUCCACACUAUGCAAAAGUUAUGUCUGUCCAUCUUUCCCACCAAAACAUUAGAUACAUAUUAACAGCAAAAGUAAUUUUGAUCGAAACCUAUACAUAAAUCUACAAUAUAUGAUAUGACAUAUAUAAAAAGAAAUAACACAUAAAUUUUGAAUUUUGAAUUUAUUCGUAAUCAUAUACUAACACCAUAUAAUAUUUUUGUCCCUUGGUUUUUUUUUUUUGGGGUGGGGGUGGGGGGAGAUAUUUAUUUGGGAUUCUCUACCCAAUAUAAUGACUGAUCUCUUCUUCUUUUUUUUUAUAAGAAUUUCCUUGUGUUAGACAAAUUCAUUAUUAAUAUCUUUCCAUUCCACCUCCAAAGAUUCUAAACUUUUGCAGUAAAAAUAACUAACAAAUUAAAUUAAGCUGGGGUUUAAUCUGAAAUUUCAUCUCUCACAAUAUAUAUUGACAAUCCCAUUUUCAAUAAAUUACAUAUACAAGAUAGGAAAUUUAAUUUUAUUUAUUUAUUUAUUCAUGGCUUGCCAAAUUCUCCUUUUGAAACUUGACCAUGUGGUUGAUGAGAAUUUCCCGCUCUUCUGUUAUAGAGAAACAUAAAAAUAAGUUAAUUAGACUACAGUGAACGAAGUAAUUAAUUGAAAUAUAUAAUUAAGUUAAUUAAAAUAUAUACUAUUUGAUUUGAAAAUUUUAAAUGAAAUGAACACACAAUUAAAAGAGAGUUUGCGUACAAGUCUCACUACCACCAGUACAAUAUCAUUUUUUUUUAAAAUCAUUGUGUGCUUAAUCCAUUAAGAAAAAAUCAGGCUCUCAUAUAAAAGUACAUCUUGAAAAUAAAAUGUAGUAGAUAAAAAUAUAAUAUUAUUUGAUUUUUUUAAUUAUUUAAAUUUUUAAAUGAGAUAGUUAUCACCAUUAAAUAAAUGCACAUAGAAAGUGGACCUUUUCUUUUCUUUUAAUAUUAGAAUAUUUAAUAUAAAAAAAUAAAUUCAAGGAAUACAUGUAACUAGGAGAAGGAAAAGAAAGAAGAAAGAAUCAAAGCUAGUACAAAGGAAUAAGAGAGAAAAGUUAUACCUUGAAAUAUAAAAUUGUUUAAUUAAAUUGGCUCACGUCCAUUUUAAUUUGUUGAGACAAUCAUUAGGUGUUAAAGAGUAUUUUGUUGACAUAAUUACCUUCAUGAAUAUAGUCAUUUAAGAAAAUGAUAAGAAUAAUUUAGUUAAAUAUAAUUUAUAAUUGAUAGAAUUAAAUAUUUUUCUCAAUGAAUAAGCCAAAACAUUAAAUUAUGGAAUAGAGAAUAAUCGGGAGGAACGUAACAAAACAUGAUCACUACUAGAAUAAGCUGAUUUUCCACAGACGCCCACGUGAGAAUGACAACAGUAGCAUGAUGAAAGUUCAAUAAUAAUAAUUUUCGAUGGGAAUAUUUUUCACCAAUUUCAUCGGAUACACGUGUUUCUAGAAGUGAAAAAUUACAACAACAAAAAAAAAAUUAAAUUAAAUUAAAGGCAUAUAUAAUUAAAACAUUGUUAUACCUGUUAUGGAUAGGGUCAGGGCCAUUAGGAACUCUUCUUUUAAUACUCAUGAAGUUGAGUUUCAUCUUUGAAUGAAUAAUAUUUGGCCUUUGCUUCUUCAACAUCUUUGUUCCUCUAUUCUCCAAGACACUAACCAACAAUAACCAAACAACUCCUAACAAUACAAUUGAGCCCCAUAACCUCUUGUACAUCCUAAUUCUAUCACUACUACUAUCCAUAUGUAUAUAUUUAAAAUUUCUAUUAGGGUAAGAAGAAGAAGAAAAAGAAAACACAAAAGUAUAGAGUUUUUACUAUGGAUUUAUUUUUAUUUUAUUUUACGAGAAGACAUAGAAAGUGAGAAAUUUGAAGGAAUUAGGCAAAAGUAGAGAGUAUUAGAUUUACCACAUGGGCUAUGGGUGAUUGGUUUUUCUUUAUAGGUUGGAGUGAAGUGAUUCUCCUACUUUAAUUUCUUGAAGCUAGAGAGAGAUGAGGUGGUGGCAUGGAGGGAACACGUUCACAAAUCAAAGAUUUGAAGUUCAUGAAUUUUUUAUAUUUCCCAGACAAACCCGAGCUUACAAUUAAAAUUAUUUAAUUCUGAUAUAUCCCUAUCAUAUGUUGUACAUCAAAUAUUUAUGUUGUCUUACGUCUAUACUAGUACUAACUGAUAACAUAGAGGUAACACCGUAAAGGGUAAAUUCUGAAUUCAAUUGCUUUAAUUUGGCUCGUACUAUUUCUACAUGUUACAAGAAAAAUAUUAGUAAUGAGUAUGAAUAAUUGACCUCAAUUUCAGUAAAUCAAAUGAAUUGUGAUAGAAUUUUAAAUUCGGACUAAUCCAACUAUGUAUUGGUACAUAGGAUAAUCUUUCUUUUCUUUUCUUUGCUUUAAUUGGUUUUGUGUAUUUUCAUGCACUAUACGACAUGACCACCAGCAGCAUGCCGCCGCUACAACUUUUUACGUACGUAAAAUGACAAGUACUUAAUUAUGCCACAAACUAUAUAUUACAAGCAUCAAAAUUCAUUGUAAAUAACUAUAGUUCUUUCUUAUAGGAGGGGAAAAGUGGUAUUUAUUAAGUUUCUUUCUUUGUGGGGUGGGGAUAAAAGCAAUGAAAAAUUCAAAGUUUUCGUUAAAGAGAUUCUAAAUAUAACUAGGCAUAUGAGAAGUUAAAAAAUUUCAAUAUCUAGUAUAUAUAGAUAAAACACAAUUUAUAACUAUUGUACUUAUUUAGAAACUACCCAAAAAGAAUAAAUAUAACCCUCAACUAUUGUAAAUUUUUUAUAUUUUUUAGGACAUUGAUAUCCUUAUCGUCUAACUUUUUUAAUGUAUAUACCCUUUGAAUUAACGAACGGACACGUGCCUCAAUCUUAAAAGUCUAUUCAAAAUUUAUUUAAUUUUAAUCCAAAAUUAAAAGACCCACCCCCAAAUUAUAACUCAAAAUAAACCCCAUUUUCUUUUCUUCACUUUUCCACUAAUCAAUAGCAACCAAACCAGACGCACGUUGGAACUUCACCACACCACCACGACUCUAUCUUCUCCGGCGAAGCUCCUCCAAUAAAAUCACCUCCAACUGCUACUAAACUCGGCCUCCCUCGCUUCGGCGAAAUCACUGAGGCAGCACCAUUCUAUCACCGCAAAACAUGACCAACAUGCAUUCACUUCUCUUUCACCGUUGCUCCAGCAGCUCCGGCGAACAGAACCAGCAAGCUCUAAUUUAUAAUCGCAAAAUUUAUAACCUCUUUUUUUUCAUAGUGAGAUUUUGAAUUGAUAAACAUCUAGAUGUUGUGUAAUUUAUUACAACUAAACAUAGAUUUCUGGCACUUAUGAUUUCUUAAUCAAAAAUUCAAAACCUUUCAUUAAUAUGUCGCGAGUUCAAAAGAAAUCAAUUAAUCGAAUUAUCCUUUCUCCCAUAUUUUCUCCUCUCCUUGAAAUCAAACAUACUGCUAUGACUCACUUUUGUGCUACUUUCUUUAGGACUACAAAUCAGACAGCAGGGGUAAAUUGUCAAAACCUGACCUCAAUUCAACAAUUAUCAAACAGAAAUUCAAUAAAACAGUAGAAGUUUUUGGGACAAUUUUCUAUUAAUCAACUGAACUGAAGGAAUUACAACUUAAAACAAUGGAAAUGAAUCUAAAGUUGGAAGCUUCCAUAGAUGAGUCCUUAAUCUGCAGAAGAAGAAUGAGUGGGAUUAGGAAGGAAGAAGAAGAAAGGAGAGAUCUGAGAGAAGAGAGGAAAAGUGUGAAAGAUACCAAUUAUCCGUUAAGCCCCUCUUUCCUCUGCAGAGUUGGUUAAAUCAACGUGACUUGUGCUGGUUUGGCACUGAUGAUGUGGUUGUAUCUCCACCCUCUAAUCUCAUUAAUCUAUAUCUAAUUUGGGCCGUUGCUUCUACCCGGUAGUUAUAACUACUUAUUGGAAGCCAAGGUCAUGACAAUUCCCUCCCCUGCAAAGCAUCCUUGUCAUCAAGGAUUAAUAACAAAAUCAGGAAACUUGGCCUUGAUGAAAUGAUAAUCUUCCCAUGUAGCAUCUUCAGGAGGUAGAUUUGACCAUUGUAUGAGCAAUUUCACAUUGGCUCGAUUGUUCAGUUUCACUAUCUGCCGCUGAAGAACAACCACUGGUCAAACCAAAAACUGACCAUUGAUGAGUCCACAAAUUGGACUCAUUUAAGGCUAUGUUUUGAUAGAAUUAGUGUCUUCAAACGCAUAUUUUGUCUCAAUAUCUGAUGAAAACCCUUAAGUUUAAGGUAUUUGGAGUUUGAGGGAAAGCAUGGACACUACUUAGCAAAAAGGAACAAAACCAGCUGAAAGAACGAAGAAAUGAAGAUCUGAGAAUCGCCGAACCCGUUCGGCGAUUCGCCAAAAGGUCUUAUCCUCGCCUUUUGUUCCAGUGUGCUGAGCCUUGAAGGAAAGGAUCAAAUCAGCGAUGAAAAGGAGCAGUCCAUGUAUCGCCAAGCAGUUCUGUGAAGCUGUACUAUGUCGCCCAAUGAUCCAAAACACGACAAUGUUGAAGGCUAACACAAGACGGCGAUGAACUAGACCAAAGGGCGGAUCGCCGAGUUGAUCGACGAUCCCGACUGACUUCGCCGAGUGAUCCUUCACAGCACAUUUUCUGAAAACUAUAAAUACUAGUUGAAGUUUUGUGGCUUAGUACCAGAGUAGAAAUUAUUAUUAAGUUUUAGUUGUAUUAAGUUUGGAAUACAAUUUUGAGAGACAAUAUUCUCUCUAAGCUUGGAAAAGGUUUUGAAGAACUUGACGAUUCAAAGGGUUUCAACUCUAAGAUUUUGGACUCUGGUCAUGUGGAUUCUUCACUUUUGACUUAUUUUAAGACUUAAUCUUGCAUACCCAUUGAUGGAAACUGAGAUUGGUAUACAUUUUUACCUCUUUUACACGUGUAGCUAAAACCCCAAUUCUUGGGGUGUGAUUUUAUGAUUAUGGGUUAGAUUAAUUGUUGGGUCUUACUUUCUAAGAGUUUAUUUGUUUUUUAGAUGUGAUUUUGUUUAGUAGUUGUGUUGGAACUUAAUGAAAUUGUAGUUGCAAAUACGAUUUCACCUUUGUCUUUUCGGCUUGCGAGAGAGAGAAGUCGUAAAACUAAGACUACUAAAUUGAUGGCCUAUGGGAGUGGGUCGACAUAAGGUUCAACUCGAGAGAGUGAAGCCUAGACAUUCUCCCAAACACUCAGCUCGAGAGAGUGAGUGGGCUAAGGCGGAGGUUGUUCUUCAUCCGGCAAGUGGGUGUCCUAGAGGAACCCAUUUGAUUUGGGGUAAGUUGCUCGAGAGAGAAUUUACCCCCACUAUAGUCUAUCCUAGUCACAAAUAUUCAACGGAUUUACCGUCAAAAGCAUGUACCCAAUAGUCUAGUCUAACCCGUAAUCCUAUCACAUCCCAAGAAUCUCGUCUCCGCAUUCGUAUCUCUUUUUAUUUUUGCUGAUUUUCCUUUUUACUUGCUUACAAACCCCCCAUUGAUAAUUGACACUCGUGUCAAACCCUUUAAUUUUACAUGUCUUCAUUUGAUAAAGUCUUUAGCUACUGUUAGUUUUAGAACUUUCGCGCUGAACCACUAAUUUUCAGGAACCACUCCCUUGGGACUCGACCCUAACCCUUGGUUGGGUUACUAUACUAUUGUACGAUUGUAGACACUUGCAUUGGAAAUUAUGUGUUGAUUACGCAAAUAUCAAAUUAGCGUCGCUGUCGGGGAAUGGUGUUACGUGAAAAAUUUUGGUUAAGAAGAAUUUUUCUAUAGAUAGUCGUAAUUUACUAACUUUAUUUUUAGUUUUGUUUUGCUUUGAAGUUGUUGAUGUAGACAGAUACCCUAAGCAUGGCUGAGAGAAAUGGUAGCAACUCGGCUGAGACGAGUCAAGAAGUCAAGAGGGACUUCAAGCUAACCGCAUUGGUAACUCAGCUGAACGAGUUGGCCACCAAAAUAUCAGAGGUGGAAAACCAGUACAAGAGCCAAGGGAGGUACAUAACCCCUCAGAAGCGGAAACAGUCUAGAGACAGGGAGAACACUCGUGUCGAGGACACACUCCAAAUCAUUCUCCAAAAGAUCACUGAACAAGAUCGAAUGUUGAAAGAGAUGAAGGAGAAUAUUUAAGUGUUGAAUCAAAUGAUUGGCUCCCAUUCUAGAUCAAUCCAGCUGAUCAGGACACUCAUGAGUUAUGCAGUGCCUCCUCUUCACUCAAAUGAACUAUUGGGGUUACCUAGUAACACUAGGACAAACCCGACCAAUGGAGAGUGAGUAAGGACCUGCGUCGUGCUACGACGUUAACUAAGGCGCUUCUUGGGAGGCAACCCAAGGUUUUAAAUGCUUUAGUUUGCUUUUAUAAAUAAUGGCAUGUUAGUGUGAUGCUUAUCGUGACCAACAACACUAACCAACGGUUUGAGUGUCUACGAUCGUCGAUAGUAUAGUAACCCAACUAAAGGUUGGGGUUGUGUCCCAAGGGAGUGGUUUUUGAGAAUUAACAGAAAAGUAAAAUUAAACUCUAACUAGUUGUAGAUAAAGAUAUUAAUGAAUAAAAACAUAGUAAAUUAAAGGGGGUGACACAAAAGUGUCAAAUAACGAUUUGGGGGUUUUGUCACAAUUAGUAAAAAUAGAAAAAAUUAACAAGAAAAUCAAGUAUAGAGAAAUGUUCUUGGGGUGUGACCGCAAUACAAGUUGAGAUAAGCAGUUGGGUACAUGCUUUUUAUGGAGAAGACCCAGUUCCAACUUGGGGAAGAUGAAAUCAUUCCUUCUUCAAGUCUCCCAAAAACCCUCUCCAAACUUGAGAGAAAAUAUCCAAAAAAGUACUAUUUUAUUCUGGAAAUUAAAAUAAAUGUUCAACUUUCUAAUAUUAAUAACAAGUUCAGUAUUUAUAGACUUCAGAAAAUAGCGCUGGCUGAUCUUUCGGCGAAGUUAGUCGAUAUCGCCAAAUGACUUCGGUGACUCGCCCUUCGUCUGUCUUAUCACUGUUUCGUGCUUGCCUUCAGCAUCUUCACGUUCUGGACCAUUGGGCGGUAUAGUACUACUUCGCGGAACUAUUCGACGAAGCGUCGACUGCUCCUUUCAUCGCCUUUUUGAUCCUUCUCCUUCAGGGCUUCGCGUACUGGAACAAAGGGCGGAGUAAAUCCCUUCGGCGAAUCGCCAAGUGUGCUUGGCGAUGCUCGAGCUUCAGCUUCUACGUUCUUUUUAGCCUUUUUGUUCCUUUUUGCACCUAAGUGUCCAUGCUUUCACUAAAACUUCAAAUACCUGAAACUUAAGAGUUUUCAUAGAUAUUUAGACAAAAUAAGCAUUCGAGGACACUAUUUUUGUCAAAAUAAAGCCCUCAAUGAGUCCCAUUUAUGGAAUCAUCAACACCCCCAACUUCAACUUUUGCUUGUCCUCAAGCAAACUCAAGUUCAGCCAUUCAAAAAGGGUGUCUCAAAUAGUGCUACACAAGACUCAAUCAUGAACAUACACAACAAGAUUCAAAUUACUUAUGCAAAGAUCAACUGUGUGCUCAAAGAUUCAAGUUGUGACACAUCAUUACCAAAGAUUCUCAUGCUCAUAAUACUUGCUACUUGUGCAAGUUCAAGCUCGACAAAAAGUAUCUAAAUGCCCUCACAUGAAGAAUGAUUACAUAUUCACACAGAGGUUAAUCAAUUCAAGAUCAGGAAUCAGAUGCAACGCUCACACUCAAAAAGAGGAACACAAUGCAUGUUCUCACCCAUAGGUUUCCCCUUAUGAGUCUUGUUGUGUGCCUUCAUGAUUGAGUCUUGUGUAGAACAGUUCGAGACACCCUUUUUGAACGGCUGAACUUGAAUUNNNNNNNNNNNNNNNNNNNNNNNNNNNNNNNNNNNNNNNNNNNNNNNNNNNNNNNNNNNNNNNNNNNNNNNNNNNNNNNNNNNNNNNNNNNNNNNNNNNNNNNNNNNNNNNNNNNNNNNNNNNNNNNNNNNNNNNNNNNNNNNNNNNNNNNNNNNNNNNNNNNNNNNNNNNNNNNNNNNNNNNNNNNNNNNNNNNNNNNNNNNNNNNNNNNNNNNNNNNNNNNNNNNNNNNNNNNNNNNNNNNNNNNNNNNNNNNNNNNNNNNNNNNNNNNNNNNNNNNNNNNNNNNNNNNNNNNNNNNNNNNNNNNNNNNNNNNNNNNNNNNNNNNNNNNNNNNNNNNNNNNNNNNNNNNNNNNNNNNNNNNNNNNNNNNNNNNNNNNNNNNNNNNNNNNNNNNNNNNNNNNNNNNNNNNNNNNNNNNNNNNNNNNNNNNNNNNNNNNNNNNNNNNNNNNNNNNNNNNNNNNNNNNNNNNNNNNNNNNNNNNNNNNNNNNNNNNNNNNNNNNNNNNNNNNNNNNNNNNNNNNNNNNNNNNNNNNNNNNNNNNNNNNNNNNNNNNNNNNNNNNNNNNNNNNNNNNNNNNNNNNNNNNNGCAUUCAUGAUUGAGUCUUGUGUAGCACUGUUCGAGAUUACCUUUUUGAACGGCUAAACUAGAGUUUGCUUGAAGACAAUCAAAACUUUAAGUUGGGGGUGUUGAUGAGUCUAGAAAUUGGACUCAUUUAGGGCUAUGUUUUGAUAGAAUUAUUGUCUUCAAAUGCAUAUUAUGUCUCAAUAUCUGAUGAAAACCCUUAAGUUACAGGCAUUUGGAGUUUGAGGGAAAGCAUGGACACUACUUAGCAAAAAGGAACAAAAGUAGCUGAAAGAACGAAGAAUGAACAUUUGAGAAUCGCCAAACCCAUUCGGCGAUUCGCCAAAAGGUCUUAUCCUCGCCUUUUGUUCCAAUGUGCUGAGCCUUGAAGGAAAAGAUCAAAUCGAUGGUGAAAAGGAGAAGUUUGCCUAUCGCCAAGCAGUUCCGUGAAGCUGUACUAUGUCGCCCAAUGAUCCAAAACAUGACGAUGUUGAAUGCUAACGCAAGAUGGCGAAGAACUAGACCAAAGGGCGGAUCGCUGAGUUGAUUGACGAUCCCGACUAACUUCGCCGAAUGUUCCUUCACAGCACAUUUUCUGAAAACUAUAAAUACUAGUUGAAGUUUUGUGGCUUAGUAUCAGAGUAGAAAUUAUUAUUAAGUUUUAGUUGUAUUAAGUUUAGAAUACAAUUUUGAGAGAAAAUAUUCUCUUUGAGCUUGGAGAGGAUUUUGAAGAACUUGAAGAUGCAAAGGGUUUCAACUCCAAGAUUUUGGACUUUGGUCAUGUGGAUUCUUCACUUUUGACUUGUUUUAAGACUUAACCUUGCAUACCCAAUGAUGGAAACUGAGAUUGGUAUACAUUUUUACCUCUUUUACACGUGUAGCUAAAACCCCAAUUCUUGGGUGUGAUUUUGUGAAUAUGGGGUUAGAUUAAUUGUUGGGUCUUGCUUGCUGAGAGUUUAUUUGUUGUUUAGAUGUGAUUUCGUUUAGUAGUUGUGUUGGAACUUAAUGAAAUUGUAGUUGCAAAUACGAUUUCACCUUUGUGUUUUCGACUUUGCGAGAGAGAGGUCGUAAAACUAAGACUACUAAAUUGAUGGCCUAUGGGGAGUGGGUCGACAUGAGGUUCAACUCGAGAGAGUGAACCCUAGACAUUCUCCCACACACUCAGCUCGAGAGAGUGAGUGGGCUAAGGCGGAGGUUGUUCUUCAUGCGGCAAGUGGGUGUCCAAGAGGAACCCAUUUGAUUCGGGGUAAGUUGCUCGAGAGAGAAUUUACCCCCACUAUAGUCUAGCCUAGUCACAAAUAUUCAAUGGAUUUACUAUCAAAAGCAUGUACCCAAUAGUCUAGUCUAACCCGUAUUCCUAUCACAUCCCAAGAAUCUCAUCUCCUCAUUCGUAUCUCUUUUUAUUUUUGUUGAUUUUGCUCUUUACUUGCUUACAAACCCCCCAUUGAUAAUUGACACUCAUGUCAAACACUUUAAUUUGUCAUGUCUUCAUUUUAUAAAGUCUUUUGCUACGGUUAGUUUUAGCACUUUCGCGCUUAACCACUAAUUUUCAAGAACCACUCCAUUGGGACUCGACCCCAACCCUUGGUUGGGUUACUAUACUAUUGUACAAUCGUAGACACUUGCAUAGGAAGUUGUGUCUUGAUUACGCAAGGAUCAACCAUGCUGCCCAGUAACUAGUAGAAUGGAUUGCACCACCUCUCUAGCCCUAUCUUCUUUUUUAGAAGCGAUACAUGGAACACUAGAUACACUUUUGUAUGGGCCAUAGUAUUUGGAGCUAAGCUUCAAAUUUCUUCGUAGAGCAAUGAAGGACUGUAUGUAAGGUUGAAGCUUGAGGUAUACCAUCUCACCAGGUUGUAACUCCCUUUCUGACCUAUGUAGAUCAGCAUAGUACUUCAUUUUUUCUUGAGCUUUCAAUAAAUUGUCCUUAAGAAUUUGUUGCAUAUGUUGCCUCUUCAUGAUCAAAUCUUUAGCAGGAAGCACAUAUGACAAAUCUUCAGCAAUGGGCAAGGGUUGCAGAUUGAGGUCCCAUGACUGAUCAUAAAUGGGCAAGGGUUGCAGCAAACUUGGAUAGGGAACAUUCUCAUCCUUGCUCCUAUGACAAACCUUACAUUCAGAUACAAAUUGCACCACUAUUUGUUUCAUUGAAGGCCAAUAGAAUAAUAGAGACAACCUUUUGAAAGUUCCAAGUUGGCAUGAGUGCCACCCUAAGUUAAAAGAAUGGAAGGUCUGGAUCAACUGAUGCCUAAGAGGUCCAUUGGAGCCCACAUAAAUCUCCCCCUUCCUUCUCAAUACUCCUGAGUAGAACUGCCACAAGUUAGGACCAUUAGUAUCUAUUAUCAACUGUGUAAUGAGCUCCACGGCCAUAGGAUCACCUUCAGAGCUGGUUGCAACCUCUUGGACCCAGAAUGGAACUACUACACUGAUAGCAUGGAACUGGCCUUUUUCACUGAAGUUGUUUUCCUCUUGUAGCUUAGAUAUUGUAUUAGCCUCCUCUGCUCCUUUCUCAUACUGCACCUCAUAACCUAACCCCAACAAUUUGGUCAGGCCUCUUUGUUGCACUGUUGUAGUAACCUUCUGUUCAAGCAAAUAUUUGAGGCUAUGGUGGUCAGUCUUGACCACAAAAUGCUUGUAUUUAAGGUAAUGUCUCCAUUUGUUUACCGCAUUCAAUAGAGCUAAAUAUUAUUUCUCGUGAAUAGAUUUAUCUCUAUGCUUCAUAGCCAAUACCUUACUAAAAUAGGCUAUUGCCCUUCCCCUUUGUAAUAGCACAGCUCUGAUUCCUGAAUGACAUACAUCAGGCUCUACUACAAAUUCUUCAUCAUAACUUGGCAAGACAAGCACUGGUGUGGUAUACAUGGCCCUCUUAGGUGCCGCAAAAGAUUGAUCAGCUUCCUCAGUCCACACAAAAGCAUCAUUCUUCAACAAGUCGGAUAGUGGUUUGCUUAUGCUUCCAUAAUUAGCUACAUACUUUCUAUAAUAUCCUGUUAAGCCCAAAAAUCCCCUAAAAGCUUUCACAGUUCUAGGGGUAGGCCAUUCCUCCAUAGCUUUCACCUUAGCAGGAUCAGUUGACACCCCUUCCGCAUUAAUAGCAUGUCCUAAGUACUCUACUUUAGAUUGAUCAAAAGAGCACUUGGACCUUUUUUCAUACAAUGAAUGGAAUAAUAAGGUGUUGAACACCAAUAGUAAAUGCUCUACAUGCUCAGACAACGAUUUACUAUAGAUGAGGAUAUCAUCAAAAAACACCAAAUCAAACUUCCUGAGGUACAAUUAAAAGACACGAUUCAUUAGGGCCUGAAAGGUAGCGGGGGGAAUUGGUAAGCCCAAAAGGAAUAAACUUAAACUCAUAAUGCCGUAUGUGAGUUCUGAAUGUCGUUUUGUACACAUCUUCAGCUUUCAUUAUGAUUUGAUGAUAACCCGCCCUGAGAUCAAUUUUGGAAAAGACCACUACUCCAUGUAGCUCAUCCAAAAGGUCAUCACGAUGGGAAUUAGGUACUUAUCCUUCAUUGUGAUCUCAUUCAACCCUUUUUAGUCCACACAAAACCACCAUGUGCCAUCCUUUUUCUCAACCAAUAGAGUUGGUGAGGAAAAGGGAGAUUGGCUAUGACUAAUAAUCCCAUUAGUAAGCAUCUCUGAAACUUGCUUUUCUAAUUCCUCCUUUUGGUAGUGAUUGUAUCUAUAAGGUCUUAGAAUAACUGGUGAGGCUCUAGGCUUUAAGUUAAUAGCAUGGUCCAGUUGUCUCACUGGUGGUAAAGACUUUGGCUCAACAAAUAUAGACUGGUACUUGUCCAGCACUUCUUGUAUAGUGGCAUCCACAUGCUCCUGCUCAUUGUAAGACUCUACUCCCAGCAUGAAUAAAUGAGCCAUCAGUGUUUGACCCUUCUUGAUAAGCCUUCCCAUGGCACUACCACUGAUCAUACUCAAACUAUACUCAAACCUUCUUAAUGAUUCUCAGAUCCUCCUUGAAGGCUUUUCCUUCCAUUUUCCAACUAAAACCAGGGGAACUAGUAUGACACAUCACAUAAUUUCCAUCAGCAACAGUGACCUUCAUAGGAGGGCUAUACUCAGCCACAUAACCAGUGUCACCAACAGCUUGUUCAUCUAUGAAGCUGUGAGUACUACAAGAAUCGAUCAACACUGCUAGUGUUCUAUUCCUAACAGAUCAUUUAACUAAUAUAGCAUUUAAUCCUAGGCUACUACCAGAUAAUGCACUCAAACAUAUGGCUUCCAUAACCUCCUGUUGUAUCUCUCCUUCAAUGAUAAGAUAUGAUGGUUCAUGUACCUCUAUUUCAUCAUGCAGUAUGCCCUCUUCUUCACCCCUAAUGCAAUUCAACUGCUUAACCUUACAGUUGUGUCUUGGGUAGUACUUCUCUCCGCACCUGAAACAUAACUUGUUGCUAUUACUAUAUUCAUACACUUCUAGGGUUAACCUAAACGUGUUUGGUCGAGGGUUUUUCACAGUUCACUGGUAACAGUAGGAAUUGGAUUACUUCCCAUAGUAUUCUUUAUGGAGCUAGACCCUCCCACCUGAUAGGAAGUUUUAGCCAUCAUCAUGUUCUUCUUUUGAGCAGCUUCUAUUGCUUUCUCAUGUAGCUUAGCCUGCUUUAUAGUUGCUCUUAAUGUUACCGAUUUAAACAUUUUAACCCCAAACUUAAUUUUCUUCCUUCAAAGCCCCAAUAAAACUUGACAGGAAAUGAGCCUCAUUCAAGGCUGGAUUCCUUAUUAUCAUCUGGGCUUUUAAGUCUUCAGACUUUCCAAGGAAUUCAUCUAGAGUUCCUAUUUGAGAUAGCUUAUUAAAUUCCUUGACUGUAUUUUCAACGACUGUUUCCCCAAAUCUCACACAGAGCUCCUCCUUAAAUUCAACCCAAGUAACUACUCUUCUAUCCAAAACUAGUGAAUUAUAUCAUGUCUCAGCAAGUCCAGUCAAAUAGAGUGCAGCUCCCUCUAUCUUUUGAUUAUCAGCAAUUCUAUAUAAGUUAAAGUACUUUUCACACUUACGCAACCAUACCUUAGGUUUGUUCCCUUCGAAGCUUGGUAGUUCCCAUUUAGGAGGUGGAAUUGGAAAUCUAGCCCUAGCUUUAUGUAUGGGAUUUGGUAGCAACCCAUAACUAACUGGAAAAGCACCUUCAGGAGCUCUGACUGGUGCUCUUUCUAGAGUUGUCAAACGAUCCAAAAUAAGCUCCAAGGUUCCUCUGAUUCCAGUUUGAGUUUCGUUGAGUUCUCUGCAAUUCAUACUGAGAUCUCCCAAAAUUUCAUCAUGACGCAGCAACUUAUCAUCUAGCAGCUUCAUUCUGGUCCCUUCGCCAUUUUCACCUUCACAAAUUGAGCGUAACCUUGCUCUGAUACCAAUUGUCAAAACCUAACCUCAAUUCAACAAUUAUCGAACAAAACUUUAAUAAAACAAUAGAAGUUUUUGGGAUAAUUUUCUAUUAAUCAACUGAACUGAAGGAAUUACAACUUAAAAGAAUGGAAAAUGAAUCUAAAGUUGGAAGUUUCCAUAGAUGAGUUCUUAAUCUGCAGAAGAAGAAUGAGUGGGAUUAGGAAGGAAGAAGAAGAAAGGAGAGAUCUGAGAGAAGAGAUAAAAAGUGAGAAAGAUACCAAUUAUCCGUUAAUCCCGCAAAGUUGGUUAAAUCAACGUGACUUGUGUUGGUUUGCACUGAUGAUGUGGAUGCAUCUCCACCCUCUAAUCUCAUUAAUCUACAUCUAAUUUGGGUCGUUACUUCUACCCGGUAGUUAUAACUACUUAUUGGAAGCCAAGGUCAUGACACAAAUAUACUUGGGGAAUUUUGGGUUAUAGUUUGGGUGUGAGGCAUUUUGUUUGUGGAGCUUCAUCAGAGAAGAUGAGUCGAGGCAGUGCGGUGAAGUUCUGACGUGGAUCUGGUUCGUGGAGUGUUUAGUUGUUGUUGUUUGGUGGACAGUGAAGAAAGUAAAAAUAGGGUUUAUUUGGGUUUGGGUCAUUUGGGGGUUUUUUUUUUGGGUAUUCGGGUUGAUUUUCCGGUGAAUUUUUAAUUGUGGAUAAAAAUUGAAUAAAUUUUAAAUAGGCCGUUAAGUUCAUGACACGUGUCUUUCAUUAUUUCAAAGGAUAUAUACAUUCAAAUACAUAGACGAUAAGUUAUCAGCAUCCUAAAAAUAUAACAAAGAGUAUUUAGAGACCAUUUAUGAUAGUUUAGGGAUAUAUUUAUCCUUUUUCCGUAAAAACUAUAUAAAAAGUACUAUAAAUUACAAUAAUCUAUGACAAUUCAAAAUAUUUAAAAAAAUUCUGAUCAAAUAAAAUAUUUUUUAAUCAUCCAAAUAGUCUAAUAUAAACACAUUGGAAUAAAAAAUAAUUUAAAUCAUAUGAUCAAAUAAAAUAUCUUUUCACCAUCCCAACAAUCUAACAAAUAAUUGAAAUGGAGGGGAUCCGGUUUAACCCUCUUGUGACCAGAGCCACUGUAUGACAUCAGUGUUGAUUAGAUGGUAAAGCCAGUAAGGCCAACUCUUUAAGGUAUCAAAAAUUUUAAAGGCCCCAAAAGUUAUAUAUAUUCCAACUCUCUUUUAAUUUAAGCAAAUUUUUUAGUUCAUAGAAAAGAAAUGUUUUUUAUAUUCAGUAAAUUUUUAGUUUUAAUAUUCUAUGUGGCACGCUUGAAAGUACAAUAAUUAAAAAUAUUUUGGCAUAUUAGAGAAAAAACAUAUUAGAAUAAAUUUAUAAGAAAAAAAUUAUCUCAGCAACUCAUAUUAGUAGAGGCAUUUUAGACAGUCAAUUCAGAUUUCAGUUACAUGUACCUAGAUUAUUGUUGUAUGUUGAUGAGUUAGACUAUUUUAGUUUACUUCUGCAUUCAGUAUUUUCUCAUCUCAUUAUGUUAAUCUUAGUGUUAUGUCAUUCCAUGAGGUUAGUUUGGGGUCAUUUGUGGCUCUAAGCAUUAUGUCACUCUAGGGAGAAGGAUCGGAGCGUGACAUUUUUCGUCUACUCUAAGCUGUAAGAAUCUCUCAUUGGAUCAACUUCACUUUAUCUAAGAAAUCUCUCAAAAAAUUUGUGCCUCAAGGCCUAACCUCAAAAAUCAUACCAAUUGAUUCUAGAAAAUCCCCAUUUACAUGGAAACUUUCCUGCAGGUUAUAAUAAAAAAUCCACAACAAAUACAAUUUCCUGCGAUUUUUCUUGCCAAUGAAAAUCAGUAGGAAAUAACCUCGUGGGUAAUUUUUACCUGCGAAAUUAUCAAUCCGCAGGUAUUUCUACGGGUCGUAGACCAGUCUCAUAGAAAGGGGAAUAUAAAUCUUUGAAACCAAGCCCCAUCACCUCUUUUACGGUCCUCUAGUACGAUCCGUCAAGUGAUCUACGAGUCGUAGAUAGGUCUUGUAGGUAGGUCCAUGACUUCGUGAAAUUUUAAGGCCAAAAUUUUAGUUAUACAGUUAAGGUCUAUGGACCAUAGGAAGUACUAUCAACCAUAGAAGGGCCCCGACAAAAGUUAAGUGAUAUUAUGGUAUGAAUACUUGGUCUACAGUUGACCAGUACAGUUCGUAGGUUGAGCCUGGUAGUUAUUUUAAGGGGAUUUUGAGUUUUUUCUCUAAUUGUCUUAAAUCAAAAUUAAGUCAUUUUGUCCUUCAUCCUAAGACCUAUAUAAGUCUUUUAAGUCCUAAAUUACCCACUCAAUCCUCAUUCUCCUAAAUCCCAAAAACCUAACUAAAUUCAUCCUCUCAAAAUUCUCUCGAAGACCAAGAAAGAAGAAAAAAUUAGGGUUAAUUUAAGUUCAUCAAUCCUCCAUUAUUUUUGGGCUUUAAGUAGCAAGGUAUAUGGGUAUUCACCCAUGGAGUCCAUUCCUCCAUGGGGUCCCCAAAGUUUUCAAUUUCUCAAUCUCAAUUUCAAUUGUGUAAGUUAGGGUUCCAAUUCAAUCUUUAUGGGUUUCAUUCAAUUGUAAUUGAUUAUUGUUAAUAAAAUCUUAUAAUGCAUGAUUCAAUGUUAGUAUAUGAAAUUUUGUUGAAAUUAUGUUGACCUAUUCCUGAUUUAUGAUUGUCAACUAUGAACCUACGAUGAACUUAUGAACCAGUGAACUAUGAGUUUUGAAGAAUUACGCAUGUUUUGUAAAAAUGAUAUUUAUGAUGAUAGAGUGCUUUUAGAUGAAAGUACCAAUGUUGUUGUGAAAGGUUUUCGCACAUACGAAUAUAAUCAUGACUUGUGAAAGGUAAUUCUCACAUUUGGGUUCACAUUGGUGAAAGGGUUUCUCAUCCAUGUUGAAUUAUGUUUAAGGAGCUAUUCUAUAUUUUGGUCUUUAAGAUGUGAAUUUGUAUUGAUCAUUGUCUUUCCUAUGUUAUAUUUAUUUUUGACUUUUAUUUAUUCAGUUGGGAUUUAGACUUAGCACCGAAAGGAUUUGGAGGUGGAGGCUUAAGUAGGGUAGUCUCUAGUAGCAACCUCUAGUCCCUAACUACGUGCUCCUAUAGGAUUGUCUUAAAUGACCUAGCUAGUGGAUCCACUUUAGCAAAAGAUGAUAUGUAUGGAUUCUACCUUGGCAAGUAGAUUCUCCUUCUUUCAGUACGAGGGAUAUACCGAAUUCUAUGACAUAGCUCUCAUGGUCUCAUUGUUGGUUAAAACUAUAUCCCACAAAAUGACUAGGUUUUUUCGGAGCUUUUCCUCUGUGUCUUAUUUUAUUAUCUUGACCAUAUUCUAUGAUUUACAUGUUAUUGCUUCUUUCAGUCUUUUAAUGUUCAAAGAAUGAUCAUGCCUACAUGUUUUAAGUCAUUCAUGCUAUCAUGCCUAUUUUAUGCAUAUUUCCUUAUACUUAGUACAUUCCAUGUACUAAUGCAUACUUGUGCCAAAAUUGUUUCACUAAUGUAGGGUUCGGCGCUCCUACCUCUCUUACUUGUGGCUAGAUGGCUCCCUUGACUUUGAUGAUUGGUGAGUCCUCAUGUUCUGAGGACCGAGAUACUUUUAUAGCUUUAAGUUAUUUCGGUUUUCAUACUUUGUAUGUGAUGUACGGGUUACAUCCCAAUCACUUUCCUUAUGACGUAUUAGAUGACUUAUUUAGACUUACGUUAGAUUUUUGCUUUUUCAAUUUCUUAAGAAAUAUGAAACGCUAUCUUUUAAUUUCUUUAUUUCUACUAUCUUGUAUGAUAUAUGCUAAGUGGCUUGUGUAGGGCCUUUUGGGAUUCUAUACGCCAUGCUACACCGAGGGUAAACUUUGGUUCCUAACAAACUUGGUAUUAGAUCACAGGAUUUAGAAAGGUCCUAGGAUGUCUCAUAAGCCACAUCGAGUAGAGUCUUGUUCAUGAGUGUGAAGCUCACCACAUUUAUGAAUAAGAGGUUAUGAGAUGUUAAGGAAACUUGACUUCUUUCACCAUUCUAAAGUUGUGCGAUAGAGUAUAACUAUAUAUGUCUCUCUCCUAAUCAUUAUCCUAUGUUUUUAAGGAUAUGGCCCCUUGAAUAGUAUACGUUAGAAGGAAUGUGGGUGGAAAUGUGGAACAGGAAGCUCCUGAAGAAGCUCCACAAGUUUUGGCUGACCCUUUGGCCGAACAACUGACUAAUGCAGAGUUUCGAGCUGCUUUUCAAGUGUUGGCUCAAUCCAUGAUGGCUCAAGCCAAUAGGGAGUUUAUGGUCCCCGUGAACCCAAAUAUGGGUACAAUGGCAACUAGAGUGAGAGAAUUCACUAGGAUGAAUCCCUCAGAGUUUCAUAGUUCCAAUGUUGAGGAAGAUCCUCAAGAGUUCAUUGAUGAAGUGUAUAAGGUUUUGAUAUGGGAUUGACGCCCGUGUAAAAGGUGAAAUUGACCGCUUAUCAACUUAAAGAUGUUUCUAAAGGUUGGUUCAACCAAUGGAAGGAAGAGAGAGUGGUUGAUGUGGGUCCUCUUGAUAGGGAAAAGAUUAAGGUUGCUUUUCUUAAUAGGUUCUUUAUCAUUGAGAUAAGGGAGGCAAAGGUACUUUAAUUCACUAACCUUCAUCCAGGAAAUAUGAGUGUGAAUGAGCAUGUCUUUAAGUUCACACAAUUAUCUAGAUAAGCUUGGCAAAGAUAAGCAAGUUUGUUUCGGGAGUGUUUGAAAUUGUGGUUAAGGAAUGUCGUAUCGCUAUGCUUAUUAAGGAUAUUGACAUUUCUCGUCUAAUGAUUCAUGCUCAACAAAUUGAAGAGGAGAAACUUAAGAAAAUACCUAGGGAGGCAAAGAGGGUAAAGACCGAUGAUGGUGACUUUUCACAUUCAAUGUCUGAUGGACAUGGUCGUUCUAAGUUCCAACAAAGGCUAUCCGAUCAAGGUUCCUCCAAUACUCUUGAUCCUAAGUUCAACAAACAAAGGGUUUCUAACCCUAAGCCUAAAGGAGGAAAUGGUGGUGGAAAUCAAUCUUCGGUUCCCGCAUGCCAAAAGUGUGGCAACAGUCAUCGUGGAAAAUGUUCGAUGGGCAUAUUUAGUUGUUUUGGUUGUGGCAAGAGUGGUCAGUGCUUGAGAGAAUGUCAGCCUAGACUUGACAAGGGAAAGGAUGGUAGCCAAGCUCCACCUAGUGGUUCGGAUUCAAGUGCUCCUAAGCAAAACUAAUUUUAUGCACUUCAAACUCAUCAUGAGCAAAAGGGUUCUCCCAAUGUUGUUACCAGUAUAUUGAAAGUUUUUCAUCAGAUGUUUAUGCUUUGCUAGAUCCCGGUGCUAUCUUGUCUAUUGUGACGCCCUAUGCGGCUAUAAGGUUUGAUAUUUCUCUGGAUGUGUUGUUAGAGCUUUUUUCUUUCUCUACUCCUAUUGGUGAAUCUAUUGUGGCUAAGAGAGUCGAUAGAAGUUGACCCGUCUCCUUAUCCCAUAAAGUCACUCAUGUUGAUCUUGUAGAGCUUGAUAUAUUAGAUUUUGAUGUUAUUCUUAAUAUGGAUUGUCUCCAUUCUUUUUAUGCUUUUGUUGAUUGUAGAACCCAAGUGGUCAAGUUUUAGUUUCCAAAUGAGCCCGUCCUAGAGUGGAAAAGAGGAAAUUCUAUGCCAAAGGGUCGGUUUGUUUCUUGUCUUAAAGCCAGAAAAAUGAUUUCUAAGGGUUGCAUGUAUCACCUCAUUUGUGUUAGGGAUAGAGAUUCUCAAAAUGCUACUCUAGAGUCUGUCCCCGUUGUGAAUGAAUUUCUGAAAGUGUUUCUCUAUGAUUUGCCCGAUGUUCCUCCCAAAAGGGAAAUAUACUUUGGUAUUGACCUUCUUCCAGAUACGCAACCUAUCUCUAUUCCUCCAUACCGUAUGGCUUCAUCGGAACUUAAGGAAUUAAAGGAGAAAUUGAAAGAUUUAUUGGAUAAGGAUUUCAUCCGAUCGAGUUUCUCUCCAUGGGGUGCUUCAGUUUUGUUUGUUCAUAAAAAUAAUGGUUCACUUCGCAUGUGUAUUGACUAUCGACAAUUGAACAAGGUCACCAUUAAGAAUAAGUAUCCUAUUCCAAGGAUAGAUGAUUUGUUUUAUUAUCCAAGGAGUGAGUUACUUCUCUAAGAUUGACCUCCGAUUGGGUUACCACCAAUUGAGGGUGAAGGAAGAUGACAUUCCAAAUAUGGUUUUUCGAACAUGGUAUGGUCAUUAUGAGAUAUUGAUAAUGUCAUUUGGUUUGACUAAUGCUCCGUCAACAUUUAUGGACUUGAUGAAUAAAGUAUUUAGGCAAUAUCUAGACAUAUUUGUGAUUGUGUUUAUUGCUGACAUCUUGAUUUGCUCAAAGAGUAAGGAUGAGCAUGUCGAUCAUUUGAGGAUUGUGUUACAACUCCUCAAGGACCAAAACCUCUUUGCAAAGUUUAGUAAGUGUGAGUUUUUGUUGAGAUUCAUGGGCUUUAUUGGUCAUAUUGUUUUUUAUAAGGAUAUUGUGAUGGAUCCUAAGAAGACAGAUGCGGUUAAGAGUUGGCGUAGACCUCUAUCCCCUUCGGAUAUUAGAAGCUUUUUGGAUCUGGUUGGUUAUUAUAGAAGGUUUGUGAAAGGACAUUCUUUAAUUGCCUCUCCAUUAACGGCAUUGACCUAAAAGAAAGUUAAGUUCUUAUGGUCGGAAGCGUAUGAGAAGAGUUUCCAAGAAUUGAAAGAUAGACUUACCUCCGCUCCCGUGUUGACUUUAAUUACCAAAAGGAUCCAAUGAGUUUGUUGUUUAAUAUGAUUCUUCAAGGAUAGGAUUAGGGUGUGUUCUUAUGCAAAAUGAGAAGGUCAUUUCUUAUGCUUCAAGGCAACUUAAAAUUAAUGAAAAGAAUUAUCCUACCCAUGAUUUGGAACUAAUGGCGGUCGUGUUUGCCUUAAAGAUCUGGAGGCAGUACUUAUAUGGUGUCUUUGUUGAUGUCUUUACCGACCACAAGAGUUUACGAUAUUUGUUCAAGCAAAAGGGUCUAAAUAUUCGGCAAAGGAGGUGACUUGAAUUGCUAAAAGAUUACGACAAGAGUGUCAUCUACCACCCCGGCAAGGCGAAUGUGGUGGCGGAUACUCUUAGUCGGCUAUAAAUAGGUAGUGUUGCUCAUGUUGAGGAUGAUAAGAAGGAGUUGGUUCGUUAUGUUCAUAGAUUGACCCGAUUGGGUAUUAGGUUGGUUGAUUCUAAUGAAGGUGUUGUUAUGGUUUAUAAUGGUUUUGAAUCGUCUUUUGUGUCGGGUGUGAAAGCCAAGCAAGGUCUUGAUCCGAUUUUGGUUGAGUCCUUCUUGCAUUCAGAGGACUUCAGUUAUGAUUUAGCAUAUUUUAUUCACUUCAGUUGUGUUAGCUUUCAGGUAGAUAGGGGUGUUUUCCCGGUAGAUUUAUCUAUCUCAAUUAUUUAGAGCCUUAAUUCGACACAGUUAUGAGUCAUAGACAUUGAUAGUCUCAGUUCUAUUUCAAGCUUUUUCUCAUAUGUUUUAAUGUUCUUCAUUUAUAAAAGAUCAGUUCAUUAUUCAAUAGCUUAGCACAUUACUAUAAAUCUCAGCUCCUGCAUUAGUCAAUGUUUAAUAUUAUAGCAUGAUAGGCCAAGGGUUCGUUUGGACCAGAAAUGAUUUCAAGUGUCAGUCAUGUCCAGGAUGUAGACUUGAACGUGACAAUUAUAGUUGUGGAUAAAUUAGCUAGGCUACCCUACUCUGGCUAUCAAAAAUACACUUUUCCAAAAAAAAAAAAAAAGGCUUGUAGGAUCAUCUUAGACCAGGAAGAGUUGAGCUCAACAUCAUCCCUAAUGAAGUAGAGAGAAGCAUCCCUUUUUGGUUUCACUUAGAUCUGAACAAAAAAUGUAGUAAGUUCUAAUAUAUGAAACUUAUGAACCCCAAAAAUUGAAAGAGAGAGCAAGAUGUACCAAGAAAGAAAUUGAAUUCAGACGAAAACAUUCUCUUUCUUCGAUUCCUUGGGAUGAGAAACCUCAACCACCUGAAACCUAACAAUGGAGAAGUGAGAAGAACUUUGAAAGAGAAGGGAUAUAAACCUAUUUACUAUGAAGUAGAUAAGCAUAUGUCACCAUGGAUUCGAUGAGGCUCCAACUUAAAGAUCACCCAAGGAGAAGGAUUGCUAGGCGGCGAUUUCAGUUACAAACCUCCGACAACAUGUUCAGGCAUUGGCGAGGACUAAGGUGAAGAUUGUCGGACCUCGGAUAUACGAUGACACAUAAAAAAGAGUUCUAAUUUUUUCUUGGUUGGGUCUAAUUUUUUGGACCUGGCCUUUAUCUGCUUGUCUUUCUUUUUUUAAUCUUCAGUCUUGGGCCAUUGACCCUAGGGCUUCUUAUUGGAAAAAUCAUACGUAUAAUUAUACUUAACAAUUUGGCUUAUUGGAUAUCGUAUUUUAAAGGGAAAAGGGUUCGAAAUAUAUCCGAACUUUGACCGAAAUUGUUGUAACUAUCCCAAAAUUUGGGCAGGACCUAUUACCCCCCCUACAUUAUUUAAUAGUGUAUUUUAAAGAUAUAUAGGCGCCCACAUGGACAUCAUAAAUAUUGCAUCAUUAUAAAUAGUAAUUUGUCUAGCUGGGCACUUAUAUAUCUUUGAAAUACACUAUUAAAUAGUGCAGGGGUAAUAGAUCAUGCCCAAAGUUUGGGAUUGUUACAGCAAUUUCGGUCAAAACUCGGAUAUAUUUCAGACUUUUUUCCCUUUAUAUGCUAAUCCGCAAGCCCAACCAAUAACCUAUUAGUUGGUUUGAUAUUGAUUAGUAAUUAACUGACAGUGUAUUGACUCCAUCAUUUCAUGCUCCCUUAUUUCACUUUCUCUCACCAAUAUAUUAAUCUCCCAUCAAACAAAAUAAUUUUUCUAGCCCUACUUAUGCUAAUAAUACUGUAAAUGCAAAUCGCAGUGAGACACAUAUGAAAGUCUAAAUUUUGAGGGUGCAUGCACAUAAACAUUUAAUUAACAUAUAUACUUACGAUAAAAAUGUAACUAUGAUAACUCUUAGCGCAUUAACGAUUUACCCAAUACAAAAAUUGAGCGAUCUGUCCCGCAUCAUAAACUAUUAACUAUAAAAUUUUAAUCAGUUCACUAAUCAUUAAUUCGAUAAUCCAAUAUCAAUAAGAUAAUUUUGUGAUUGGUUUAUCGAUUACGGUUCAAUUUUAAACCAUUGGACUUCUUUAGUUAUAUUGAUUUACUAAUGAUUAUAAAAAGGGUCCCUGGACCGCAAUUUAAUUAAAAAAAUUAGAAGAGAUUGUUGAAUUUCUUUAACAUAAGACAAUCUUCUAGAUAUAAUAUUCUUGCAUUUGUUUUUAUACCCUCAUUAUUAAGAUUCCUUAUUCGUCUACUACUCUGAAAAGUAGGUGUUUCAAUAUUCUAUAUAACUUAUUUUUAUUGUGUUUAGCAAGUUUUGGUGUUAAUAAUACUACUUUCUAUUGUGCUUGAGGUUAACUCACUUGAAACCACUCUUUGUUGUAGGCAGUAAAUUAAAUUCCAUCAUAUACAUGCUCACUCUUUUAAAAUUGAAAAUAUAUUUAAAUAUACUUAAACGUGAGUAAAAUAACAUUAUACUUUAUCAAAUAAAUCGUUAAAUCUCUCUAUAACUGUUUUUCUAUAUAAUAAUAUUUUAUAAUAUAACAUUCAAGUUUUCUUUUCGAAAUCUUUUUUCAUUGUUGUUAUCAGGGGAGGACCCACGUGGUAUCCAGGGGUUCACCCGAACCCCUUCGGCAAAAAAUUACACAAUAUAUAUAAGGUAAAUUUUAUGUAUUGUUAUGGAUAUAUAUAUUUUGAACCCCCUCAAUAACAAAGAGAAACCGAUGGUGCAGUGGCAAGUAUCCCAAAAAUUAUGUUGUACGUCACCGGUUCGAAUCCCAGUGAAAGCGUUUCAUUUUUAUCUUAUUCAGUUUUAGUUUUUUUUUAAAAAAAUUUAGUUCUGUUUUUCAAGUUUUUUUUAGUUUUUUUUUUUACUUUAAAAAAUGUGCUAAAAGUUUGGUUUUAAACCCAAAAGAAUUCAAGGUUUCCAUUUCUAAAGGCUUAUUUACACGUUUAUACUUUUAUUUUUCGAACCCCCUAAACAAAAAUUAUGAGUCCACCACUGGUUGUUAUAUAUGAUCUAUAGAACAACAUGUCGUUAUAAUAGCUAUAACAUGUCGUUGUACCAGAUAAAUAACGUCGUUAUAAAGUCAUUUGAUUUGUAUAAUAAAUGUAGAUUGAGUUGUAUUAAAUAGGAAUACAUGGAUCAUUGGAACAUAGGAUUCCAUGGAUUAUGGAAUGUUAUUGCACACAUUCUUAUUAUAUUAUUCCAUUUGUAAAAACAAAUACUUAAGUCCUAAUGCCAAGGUUUAUCCAGCACAAAUAACCCCAACAAAAACACUUAUAAAAAAAAUUGUGUCGGAGAAUCAAAUUCUUUUAAUGGCUUCAAUUUCAAGUUUAAAGGCAUAGCUCCAUUUGGAAUUAGGUUAAUUUACCUACAUCAUAUAUUUAUGUCAAAUUAUAUUAAGUAAUUGUCAUGAUCAAGUGAUUAAAUUAACCAAAAAUAAGUGAUAGACAUUUUGUGCAAAUACAUAUUAUAUAUGCAUUUAUUAAUUUGAUGUAAAAUCAGUGUAGGAGAGUCAUUCUAUGUUCAAGAGCGAAUCUAAUGUGUAAAAGAUGGUUUAAUCCAAAUUACUAGCAUAUUAUUUUGGCUCACAUUUUGUAUUUAUAUAUUUAAAAUUAAUUAUAAAAUAUAAAUAAUAUAUUUUGAACUUGAUAUAAUUUUAGUGACUGUGAUAGAAUAUCAUAUAUCAUACUCUAACAUAAAAAUUCAAAUUUUGAAUUUGCUUUUAUUAUAUAUGCUAGCAAAUUAUCAUAUACUAAGAAAUCUUAAUUCUCUUUUGGUGAUUCGUACAUGACAACUUUUAGCACUAUCUAACAACUAAUUAAAUAAAAUUCGAGGGUUUUAAAAGUAAGAAUAAGCGAACAUGUGAUAUAAAGGUGGUCUUUAGACCCAAGAUUCUAUGCCUUUUGAACCAAUUAUUAUCUAUUCAAUAGUGAGGAAUAAAAUUAUGGAACUUUUAUGUCUAAUCACCCUCUUUAACAAGAAUUUUGACCUAAUUUAUGAAAAUAAUUAUUAAAAAAUAUAAAUAAUUGAUUUUGGAUAACAUAAUCAAAUAAGUAUAAUCUCAUAAAUAAAUGUACAAAAUUUAAAUUUUGAAUACACCUCAGCUCUUCCUCUCGUAGUCACUUGCAAUGCGCCCUUUUCUAUUUUGUUUUUUUUAUUUUAACUAAUCUUGAACACAAAUGAGCAGCACGAAUGAACUUAUAUAUAGUACCUGUUUUGUUUUAGUAUCUUAUCUCUACUUCUUGAGUAUAACACUAUGCCUAUUAAUAUACUUUUGGUAUAAUAUAUAAAAUAUAAAUAUAUCCUUUAAUUGGGUAUUAGAUCACAUAUGUGUUCUGCAAUUUCGUGUAUGUAUAAGUAGACACUUAAAUUUGUAGAAAGUUGAACAAGUAAACACAUGAGUCUUACGUGACAUAUUAGACGAAGGAUGCCAAAUAGGAUGCUUCAUAAAAUGUGAAUUGUCACAUAGGACGUCAAGUAGGACAUGCGUGUCUAUUUGUUCAACUCCAUAAAAAUUUAAGUGUCUACUUAUAUAUACCCAAAAUUGGAAGGCGUAGAUGUCAGAUGAGACCACAUUUACGGCCCCAUGUAUAUGUACUAUACAAAGGUUGAUAUUUAAAGUGGCAUGAGUAGAGAGAAGCUAACUUAUUUAAGCUGAAAUUGGAAAAGUCACAAGCACAAAUAGGCCCGGUCAAAGGUUGAACAUCAGUAGGAUUCAAUAGGGUGUGUAUGGAAAAUAUUUUCCAUUUUUUUCAUAUUUCGUUGGCUUAAAUGCUUUGGAAAAUGUUUUUCAUAUCAACUCAUUUUUGACAAAUUUAAGGAAAAUGACUUCCCUUAAAAUAUAUAUAGAGUGUAUGGAAAAUAUUUUCCAUUUUUUUCAUGUUUCGUUGGCUUAAAUGCUUUGGAAAAUGUUUUUCAUAUCAACUCAUUUUUGUCAAAUUUAAGGAAAAUGACUUCCCUUAAAAUAUUAAUGAAAAUAUUUUCCAAAACUCUACUUCAUCCUUCAAUAUUUUUUACCCUACUCCGUAUGUCGUACGCAAUCCUUGUCAUCCCAAAAAUAAAUAAAUUUUAAAAUUUUCUUAUUUUUUAAAUUUCAAAUAUAUUUUUACCCCUACUCCCAAACUAACCCCCAGCCACCCCCACCAAGCCCACAUGUCACCCCCCACCCAGGCUAAUCAGUCAAAAAAAAAUUAAAAAAUAUUUCAAGUUUUAAAAAAAUUCAUUUUUAUUCAUUUUUUAUGCCACCCGUACCCCCACCCCAUCCUUCCAGUCGCCACCCCGUCAAAAUGAUUUUGUUUUUGAAAAAUAUUUUUCUGGGUCAGAUCUCAGGGUCGGAUUUUGAAACGAUCAUCGGGGUCUUGUUCUAGUUCGGAUGUCAGGGUUAGGUCCUAGAUCAAUUAUCGGGGUUGAUUUUCGGAUCAGAAAUUAUUUUCCUAAAGAGUAUUUUCUAGUCUCACGCUGGAAAAAAAAAAUUCAUACACCAACCAGACAUUAAAAAAUAUUUUCUACUUACGAAACAUGAGAAAAUAAGUUAGAAAUCUACUUGUUUUCCAAGAAAACAUUUUUCUUCCUACCAAACACACCCAUAGUCUUAAUCUAGCAAUGUGGUUCAGAACAUGCCAUUGUUGAUCGAUGAAAUUUUUGUUUUAAUUACGAGAAGUGAUUUCAAGGCAUCAACCCUUCCACUACGGUCGAUAUAUGAUAACAACUUCCAAACCCUAUAAGGAAUACUUUAAACAAUAGACCUAUUUUUACAUCCAUCAAAUUACACUACUUGCUUGACCUAUUCUAUAUAAACCAUAUAGCUGAAGCUAAUGUAAGUCAUAGCUAUUGAUAUUGACAUAUUUGAGUAUUUUGUAAUAGAUAGUAAUAUCACAAAAUGAUUAAGCUAUAACAAUUACCAAACACUGGAUGUGGUUAUUAGUAAUAUUAAAGUUCGUUUAGAAACUAUUUUCAAAAAACAAUUACCAAACGCAUUCAAGAGUUCGUUUGGCCAUUCUAUUUAUUGAUUUCAUACUCACGUUCUUACCUAACACGUCGAGCAAGAAUGAACGACCUGAAAUUUAAACACCAUUACAAACCCCGUAACUUUGGCUUAGACCAUGUAUGUGUUUAAGAAAUUACUAACCGUGCAAACAAUAGGUUUCAAAUCAAGUAAAUUAGACGGGAUGUGGUAGAAUUUUGAGUCCAAAUCCAUAUAGAGUUCAAAUCCUAGAUUCACCUCUGACCAAAGGCACAUAGGUAGGGGGCCAUUAUCCAAACACAACCAUUGUAUUACUACUACAACAAGAGUAAUAUAUUAAGCAUGUUUCUUAGGAAUAUUCAAGCUAUCAAUAAAUAGAUUUCAGUUACUUCCACUUCCAGAUAGUGUACAUAUUUUCUUAUAAACUGAUUUUACUACAAGCUCACUAAACCUAAUUGUGACUAUAUUCCAAAAAAUCACAAGGGCGAGUAAGGUGUGUGAAAGAAUAAAACUAGAUGACAAGAUAUUACACAUCUAAUUCUACUAUAAGCUAAAUUGUCUUGGGUCAAAAAAGUACAUUAAUAUUCAGGGAGGAAAAUUUGUACUAUCUGGAAGUUAGUUUUCUCGAGGUAGCUUUGACUGUGGUUUCAUACUUGCUCUCCGAGCUACAUCCCAUGCCUUUUGGGGGAUCGAGACACCAGCCUGAGAUGCAAAAAAUGACUCGUACCCAGGUGAAUCAAAGGCAAAACCAGUAUGUUUUGAUUUCUGUCCGGGAAGUUGUCUAAUUGCGUAACUCCUUGCUUCUUCAGGUGUAAGAUCAUUUCCAAUCUCUAGUAACCCCAUCCUACUAUCAAUUUCAUGCCUAUGAAUUUCCUGAACGAUCUGAUAAUCAUAAGGGAAAAACCAUCUUUGAACCCUGGAAAAAGCAACUAGUAAUGUUAGGCAAAAGCAAGACU